rnacentral:rRNA from 1 species
AUACGUAGGUGGCGAGCGUUGUCCGGAAUUACUGGGUGUAAAGGGCGUGUAGGCGGGGAUGCAAGUCAGAUGUGAAAGCCCAAGGCUUAACUUUGGGACUGCAUCUGAAACUAUGUUUCUUGAGUGCUGGAGAGGAAAGCGGAAUUCCCAGUGUAGCGGUGAAAUGCGUAGAGAUUGGGAGGAACACCAGUGGCGAAGGCGGCUUUCUGGACAGUAACUGACGCUGAGGCGCGAAAGCGUGGGGAGCAAACAGGAUUAGAUACCCUGGUAGUCCACGCCGUAAACGAUGGAUACUAGGUGUAGGAGGUAUCGACCCCUUCUGUGCCGGAGUUAACACAAUAAGUAUCCCACCUGGGGAGUACGGCCGCAAGGUUGAA